rnacentral:rRNA from 1 species
GAUGAACGCUAGCGGCAGGCUUAACACAUGCAAGUCGAGGGGUAGAGUUAGCUUGCUAACUUGAGACCGGCGCACGGGUGCGUAACGCGUAUGCAAUCUACCUUGUACAGAGGGAUAGCCCAGAGAAAUUUGGAUUAAUACCUCAUAGUAUCUUCGGAAGGCAUCUUCUGAUUAUUAAAGUUCCAACGGUACAAGAUGAGCAUGCGUCCCAUUAGCUAGAUGGUAAGGUAACGGCUUACCAUGGCAACGAUGGGUAGGGGUCCUGAGAGGGAGAUCCCCCACACUGGUACUGAGACACGGACCAGACUCCUACGGGAGGCAGCAGUGAGGAAUAUUGGUCAAUGGGCGCAAGCCUGAACCAGCCAUGCCGCGUGCAGGAAGACGGUCCUAUGGAUUGUAAACCGCUUUUAUACGGGAAGAAACACUGCUACGUGUAGCAGCUUGACGGUACCGUAAGAAUAAGCAUCGGCUAACUCCGUGCCAGCCGCCGCAGUAAAAC